CAAGCUUAGUAAGGGCGCACAGUGGAUGCCUUGGCAUCAGAAGGCGAUGAAGGACGUGGUAAGCUGCGUUAAGCGUCGGGGAGUGGCAAACACACUUUGAUCCGGCGAUUUCCGAAUGGGGAAAACCCAUCUCGAGUAAUAUCGGGAUAUCGGCACCUGAAUACAUAGGGUGCUUGAGGCGAGACCCAGGGAAGUGAAACAUCUCAGUACCUGGAGGAGUAGAAAUCAAUUGAGAUUCCCUAAGUAGUGGCGAGCGAACGGGGAAUAGCCCAAACCAUCCCGCUUGCGGGGUGGGGUUGCGGGACCGCGAUGUGGGACUCGUGAGGAUAGUGGAAAGUUCUGGAAAGUUCUUCCAUAGAGGGUGAAAGGCCCGUACACGAAAUCCAAUCGAGCUCUAGCGGUAUCCCAAGUAGGACGGGACACGUGAAACCCUGUCUGAAUCCGGGAGGCCCACCUUCCAAGGCUAAAUACUCUCUGAUGACCGAUAGUGAACCAGUACCGUGAGGGAAAGGUGAAAAGUACCCCUGCUAGGGGAGUGAAAUAGUACCUGAAACUGUGUGCCUACAAACUGUGGUAGUCCCGAUCCGUCGGGAUGGCCGCAUGCCUUUUGCAUAAUGAGUCCGUGAGUCAUCGUAGGCGGCGAGGUUAAGCCCCUGAAAGGGCGGAGCCGAAGCGAAAGCGAGUGUGAAAUGCGCGUUGAGUCGUUUGCGGUGGACCCGAAACCGUGUGAGCUACCCAUGGCCAGGCUGAAGUCCCUGUAACAGGGGAUGGAGGGCCGAACCGGUGCGUGUUGAAAAACGCUCGGAUGAGCUGUGGGUUGGAGUGAAAGGCUUACCAAACUCGGUGAUAGCUGGUUCUCCCCGAAAUAGCUUUAGGGCUAGCCUGCGUGAAUGCUCGGAACGGAGGUAGAGCACUGAUUGGCCGAAGGCUCCUACCAGAGUACUGACGCCACUCAAACUCCGAAUGCCGUUCCAGUCACACGUGGAGUCACACUGCGGGGGAUAAGCUCCGUAGUGGAAAGGGAAACAGCCCAGAUCGCCAGCUAAGGCCCCAAAAGAAUACUGAGUGCGGAAGGAUGUGAGACUGCAGAGACAGCUAGGAUGUUGGCUUAGAGGCAGCCAUCAUUUAAACAGUGCGUAAUAGCUGACUAGCCGAGUGGUCUUGCGCCGAAAAUGAACGGGACUAAGUAUUCUGCCGAAGCUGCGGAUGUAUCCGGUCUCCGGACCGGAUACGUGGUAGGGGAGCGUUGUGUACGGGUAGAAGCGAGAAGGGAACUGACCGUGGACUGUACACAAGUGAGAAUGCGGACAUGAGUAACGAUAAGCCGGGUGAGAAUCCCGGCCGCCGAAAUCCCGAGGAUUCCUGGGGUAGGUUCGUCCGCCCAGGGUUAGUCGGCCCCUAAGCCGAGGCCGAAAGGCGUAGGCGAUGGGAAACAGGUUCAAUAUUCCUGUACCGGGCGUGUUGCGUUCGAGUGAUGGAGUGACGCAGAAAGGUAGACCGGCCAGGCUAUGGUAUGUCUGGUCCAAGCCGGUAGGGGGUUCUGGUAGGAAAAUCCGCCGGAACAUAACCCUGAGAGGCGAUGGGACGCGGAAGCUUUUAGCCAAGCGGAUCGGUUGAUCCUCUGCUGCCAAGAAAAACUUCUAAACGAGUAACACGUUCGACCGUACCGAAAACCGACACAGGUGGGAUGGUAGAGAAUACCAAGGCGCGCGAGAGAAAUCUGGUUAAGGAACUCGGCAAAUUAGCCCCGUAUCUUCGGAAGAAGGGGUCCUUUUUGGUGUGAUCAUUAUACUUUGUGAGCACCGGGAAGGCGCAGUGAAAGGGCUCUGGCGACUGUUUACCAAAAACAUAGCACUCUGCAAACUCGCAAGAGGACGUAUAGGGUGUGACACGUGACCAAUGCCGAAAGGUUAAGGCAAGGGGUUAUCCCUCGGGAGAAGCUCCGAACCGAAGCCCCGGUGAAUGUCGGCCGUAACUAUAACGGUCCUAAGGUAGCGAAAUUCCUUGUCGGGUAAGUUCCGACCUGCACGAAUCGUGUAACGAUCAGAGCACUGUCUCAACCAGAAUCUCGGUGAAGUUGUAGCUCCGGUGAAAAUGCCGGAUACCCGCGAAAGGACGGAAAGACCCCGUGAACCUUUACUGUAAUCUGAUAUUGGAAUUUGGUUGUUCAUGUGUAGCAUAGCUGGGAGGCUUUGAAGCUCCGACGUCAGUCGGGGUGGAGCCAACAGUGAAAUACCAGUCUUGGAUAAUUGGAUUUCUAACCGUGACCCGUGAAGCCGGGCGCGGAACAGUGUCAGAGGGUCAGUUUGACUGGGGCGGUUUCCUCCCAAAAAGUAACGGAGGAGCGCAAUGGUUCCCUCAGCAUGGUCGGCAAUCAUGCGUAGAGCGUAUAGGUAGAAGGGAGCUUGACUGCGAGACCUACAAGUCGAGCAGGUGCGAAAGCAGGUCUAAGUGAUCCGGUGGUUGCUCGUGGUAGCGCCAUCGCUCAUCGGACAAAAGGUACUCCGGGGAUAACAGGCUGAUCGCCGCCAAGAGUCCAUAUCGACGCGGCGGUUUGGCACCUCGAUGUCGGCUCAUCGCAUCCUGGGGCUGGAGAAGGUCCCAAGGGUUGGGCUGUUCGCCCAUUAAAGCGGUACGCGAGCUGGGUUCAGAACGUCGUGAGACAGUUCGGUCCUUAUCCUUCGUGGGCGCAGGAGAUUUGAAGAGAGCAUUCCUUAGUACGAGAGGACCGGGAAUGACGUACCACUGGUGUUCCAGUUGUCCCCCAAGGGCAUGGCUGGGUAGCUAUGUACGGAAAGGAUAAGCGCUGAAAGCAUCUAAGCGCCAAGCCCCCUCUGAGAUUAGAUCUCCCCUCCCGUCUUCGGACGGGACUGAAGGCAGGUUGAAGACGACAACCUUGAUAGGCCGGGUGUGUACGUGCAGUAAUGCAUGAGCUAACCGGUACUAAUCAGCCGUGAGGCUUGACCAU
rnacentral:rRNA from 1 species